rnacentral:rRNA from 1 species
ACGAACGCUGGCGGCAGGCUUAACACAUGCAAGUCGAACGCUCAUCUUCGGAUGGGAGUGGCAGACGGGUGAGUAACACGUGGGAACAUGCCCUCGGGUUCGGAACAACGUUUGGAAACGGACGCUAAUACCGGAUACGCCGCGAAAGCGGGAAAGGCUUUGCUGCCUGAGGAUUGGCCCGCGUUCGAUUAGCUUGAUGGCGGGGUAACGGCCCACCAUGGCGACGAUCGAUAGCUGGUCUGAGAGGAUGGCCAGCCACAUUGGGACUGAGACACGGCCCAAACUCCUACGGGAGGCAGCAGUGGGGAAUAUUGGACAAUGGGCGCAAGCCUGAUCCAGCCAUGCCGCGUGAGUGAUGACGGCCUUAGGGUUGUAAAGCUCUUUCGCACGCGACGAUAAUGACGGUAGCGUGAGAAGAAGCCCCGGCUAACUUCGUGCCAGCAGCCGCGGUAAUACGAAGGGGGCUAGCGUUGUUCGGAAUCACUGGGCGUAAAGGGUGCGCAGGCGGGCAUUUAAGUCAGGGGUGAAAUCCCGAGGCCCAACCUCGGAACUGCCCUUGAUACUGGAUGUCUUGAGUCCGGAAGAGGUGAGUGGAACUGCGAGUGUAGAGGUGAAAUUCGUAGAUAUUCGCAAGAAC